rnacentral:rRNA from 1 species
UACUUGCAUCAUUGUAAUGAUGAUACAAGCUCGACCAUGUUGAAUAAAAUUCUAGGUAGAAUUAUGAUAAUGACAUUGUCUGCCUAUGUGUCUUGACCAAAUUACGUGCCAGCAGUCGCGGUAAUACGUAGAAGACUAGCGUUAUUCAUGUUUAAUCGGUUUAAAGGGUACCUAGACGGUAAAUCAAGCUUUCAAAUAACAGAUAUUAAAAGGACUAAUUUACUAGAGUUACUUAUGAGGGGGCAUUAAAGUACUGCUGGUGUAGAGAUGAAAUUCUGUCAUACCUAUUCUGUAUUGGGACAUAUGGCACAGGUAUAGGCGAAGGCAUCCCCUUAUGUAAUAACUGACGUUGAGGGACGAAGGCUUUGUGUAGCGAACAGGAUUAGAUACCCUAGUAGUCGAAGCAGAAAAUGAUGAAUGUCAUAGAUUAGAUGCAUAAGUUUAUUCUAUAAAUGAAAGUGUAAGCAUUCCACCUCAAGAGUAAUUUGGCAACAUUGGAACUGAAAUCAUUAGACCGUAUCUGAAACCAGUAGUGAAGUAUGUUGUUUAAUUUGAUAAUCCGCAAAAAACCUUACCACAACUUGAAUAUUUAUAAUUAUUGUAUUUUUUUUUUGCAAUAUGUAUUUACAAGCGUUGCACGGCUGUCUUCAGUUAAUGUCGUGAGAUGUUGGUUAGUUCCAUUAAAUUAACGUAAACCCUUAUUAUUUUUAUAUAGA